GAUGAACGCUGGCGGCGUGCUUAACACAUGCAAGUCGAACGGAAAGGCCCUGCGUUUGUGGGGUGCUCGAGUGGCGAACGCGUGAGUAACACAUGUGUAACCUUCCCUUAACAUUCGGGUAUCUUUAGGAAACUGAGGCUCAUACCGGAUAUAAGCUAUUGCUGCAUAGUGGUGGUUGGAAAAUUUCGGCGGUUGGGGCUGGACUCGCGGCUUAUCAGCUUGUUGGUCGAGUAGUGGAUUACCAAGGCUUCGACGGGUAGCCGGCCUGAGAGGGUGACCGGCCACAUUGGGACUGAGAGACGGACCAGACUCCUACGGGAGGCAGAAGGCGGGAAUAUUGCACAAUGGGCGGAAGCCAGAUGCAGCAACCCCGCGUGCGUGAUGAAGGCCGUCGGGUUGUAAACCGCUGUCGCCUGUGACGUAGAGUGAGUGACGGUAAUGGGUAAAGAAGCACCGGCUAACUACGUG
rnacentral:rRNA from 1 species